rnacentral:tRNA from 3 species
GCCCCGUUCGUCUAGUGGCCUAGGACGCCGGCCUCUCACGCCGGUAACACGGGUUCGAAUCCCGUACGGGGUAC